rnacentral:rRNA from 1 species
GAUGAACGCUGGCGGUAUGCUUAACACAUGCAAGUCGAACGGACUCUUCGGAGUUAGUGGCGGACGGGUGAGUAACGCGUGAGAAUCUGGCUUUGGGUCCGGGACAACCACUGGAAACGGUGGCUAAUACCGGAUGUGCCGAGAGGUAAAAGAGAAAUUGCCUGAAGAUGAGCUCGCGUCUGAUUAGCUAGUUGGUGAGGUAAAGGCUCACCAAGGCAGCGAUCAGUAGCUGGUCUGAGAGGAUGACCAGCCACACUGGGACUGAGACACGGCCCAGACUCCUACGGGAGGCAGCAGGGGGGAAUUGUCCGCAAUGGGCGAAAGCCUGACGGAGCAAUACCGCGUGAGGGAAGAAGGCUCUUGGGUUGUAAACCUCUUUUCUUAGGGAAGAACAAAAUGACGGUACCUAAGGAAUCAGCAUCGGCUAACUCCGUG